GGUUCCAUAGUGUAGCGGUUAACAUGUCUGCUUUACACGCAGAAGGUCUGGAUUCAUGUCCCAGUGGAGCCA
rnacentral:tRNA from 1 species